rnacentral:rRNA from 1 species
AACGAACGCUGGCGGCAUGCCUAACACAUGCAAGUCGAACGAAGCCUUCGGGCUUAGUGGCGCACGGGUGCGUAACGCGUGGGAAUCUGCCCCUUGCUUCGGAAUAACAGUUAGAAAUGACUGCUAAUACCGGAUGAAGUCUUCGGACCAAAGAUUUAUCGGCAAGGGAUGAGCCCGCGUAGGAUUAGGUAGUUGGUGGGGUAAAGGCCUACCAAGCCGACGAUCCUUAGCUGGUCUGAGAGGAUGAUCAGCCACACUGGGACUGAGACACGGCCUAGACUCCUACGGGAGGCAGCAGUGGGGAAUAUUGGACAAUGGACGCAAGUCUGAUCCAGCAAUGCCGCGUGAGUGAUGAAGGCCUUAGGGUUGUAAAGCUCUUUUACCAGGGAUGAUAAUGACAGUACCUGGAGAAUAAGCUCCGGCUAACUCCGUG